AACACGUGCGUUCACUGGGAAGUAUUGACAUGGGUGUUACAUCACCAGCAGCCAAUCAGAUAACUCCAGUCGUGUUUAUACUUCUACAACCACCUUAUUACAUGUAAUUUUAAUGUAAAGAAUGACAGUACUACCCUGCCACAAAAGGAUUUUGGCUUUGAGUUAUUUUUCCGGUAAUAAACAUAUUGUCACCUGGCCACCAGUGACCAAGAGCUUGAAA